GUGCGCAACGCGUAUAGAAUCUGCCCUGUACUGGGGAAUAGCCCAGAGAAAUUUGGAUUAAUGCCCCAUGGUAUGUAUUAGCGGCAUCGCUUAUACAUUAAAGGCUACGGUACAGGAUGACUAUGCGUCCCAUUAGUUAGUUGGUAAGGUAACGGCUUACCAAGGCAGCGAUGGGUAGGGGCCCUGAGAGGGGGAUCCCCCACACUGGUACUGAGACACGGACCAGACUCCUACGGGAGGCAGCAGUGAGGAAUAUUGGACAAUGGGCGGGAGCCUGAUCCAGCCAUGCCGCGUGCAGGAAGACGGUCCUAUGGAUUGUAAACUGCUUUUGUACGGGAAGAACAAGGGGCACGUGUGCCCCUCUGACGGUACCGUAAGAAUAAGGAUCGGCUAACUCCGUGCCAGCAGCCGCGGUAAUACGGAGGAUCC
rnacentral:rRNA from 1 species